CUGGCACCGCCGGCGGUGCCGCUGCCUGAGGUCAGGGAGCGGUGGCCUCCACCAAUGCCUCGAGUGCCCCGGGGCGCGGGGGCCAGAUAAGAAAACUGAGGUCCAGACAAGCUAAGUGACUGCCAAAAGUUUGACAGAUAGUCAGUGACAGAGGAGAAUGCGUAUCUAUCAUGAGAUGGGUGUGCCCAGGCUUGGAGGUGACUUUGUGAGUUCCAGAGGUCCAGAAGUAUUGGAUGCCACUGGACUAGAUCCCAAGGGCAGCAGGGGAGGUGUCCCCAGCAACUAUACCAGUGUUCUUGGAAAGGACAAUCCUACAAUGACGCAAGUCCAGCUAUUUUACCAGAAGACAUGGACUGGGAUUCGUUCAGACAGUUUGGAAUCAAUGUGAAAUCAAAACCACUUAAUUUGUAGUCCUGCAAACUGUUGUGUUCCAGUGAGGUUUAAGUAGAAGUCUCCUAGCAGAUGUUUUAGUUAUAACAAUACUGAAUUAUUGAUUCUGUUUUAAGUUGAUCAGUUAAUGCUUACUGUGAAUUUUUCAUGUUUAUCAUUUCUUUUGUUUCUAGGAAUAAAUUGCACAUUCCAUAUCUGAUUCAUCA